GGGAAGAGCAGUACCCGCCAGCACGUAGGAGCCGCUGCCCACGCCCCUUGCGCUUCCUCGCAGCCUGUGAGGGGCUGGACUUCAAAUCCCGGCAAGCUCUGGGCAGGCAAGACUGCUACUUCAUUUCCCGGCCUGCUUUGCGUCUUAGUCGGAUUUUGCAGGUUUUGCACCCGUUUGGCAGAGGUCUUCUAAUGACCUUUGUGGCGGAGCAACUACAGCUCGAGUCACUGAGCUCCUGGUCCUGCUGGCAGGCUGUGGGGAAGGGAAAGGAAGAAGACGAGGUCCUAGCGAGGGACUUGGCCUUAUUGCUGAGAAGAAAAAGUAAGCUCACAGGAUGGAUGGUAGUGUAUUUUCAUCACUUCCUCCCACCCUGGAGGCUUCAUCCUCUAAAUCUAGUUUGCCUGUAAUUGUGCCCCGCUACCUUGGGAUGUGAUUAGUACUAUUCUUUGAUUGCAACUGGAGGAAUGAUAAUAAAACUUGCAGUUUCU